UGCCUCAAGCAUGUUGGUGACUCUGUCAGGUAGGGUGUUUCAACUGGAAGAAACAACAUCCCAUCAGCAAUGGGGCAACAAGAACAUUAGUCUCUCCUUGAAUGGGAAAUCCAGAUAUGAGGGGUUUCAUAGCUGGUUGUCAUCACGGUAACAAUCUGAUUGUCCUCAGAGCUACCUGUCCUCUGUUCAUGCGCGUCCUAGCUUUCUGUUGUUCUGGAAUCCAGGGAGGAGAAGACAAAGGCGAAAAUGGGCCUUUCCAGGUUUCUGUGUUCAUGCCCUUGGAGAAGACGGAGGCUGCGGAAGCUUCUCCUUUCUGAGGUGCUGUUCUGGACUCUCAGCAUCUGUUCCUGCCCCGGCUCAGCCACUGCCUGGGCCUCUCUGCCUGGGCCCCAGGUGUUCCCUUGGAAGCCUCUGUUCUGCCUUUUGGGAUUUUCAGUUUUCAUAUUCCAUCACGUCAGUCUUAGGAUCUCCAGC